GGCUUCGUAGCUCAGCUGGUAGAGCAUUUGCCGUGUUUAGGCAUGUUGUUUCUCUCUCUGGUUUGAAUCCAGCCGAAGUCC
rnacentral:tRNA from 1 species